rnacentral:rRNA from 1 species
UGCCGGCGACCGGCGGACGGGUGCGUAACGCGUAUGUAACCUACCGUUUGACAGGGGGAUAACAUCGAGAAAUUGGUACUAAUACCCCAUAACAUCACCGGAGGCAUCUUCGGUGGUUGAAAACUCAGGUGGUCAGAGAUGGACAUGCGUUGUAUUAGCUAGUUGGUGAGGUAACGGCUCACCAAGGCGACGAUACAUAGGGGGACUGAGAGGUCAACCCCCCACAUUGGUACUGAGACACGGACCAAACUCCUACGGAAGGCAGCAG